rnacentral:tRNA from 1 species
GCUGGAAUGGCCGAGUCGUUAAGGCGAUAGAUUUGAAAUCUAUUACUCUCUGAGUGCGUAGGUUCAAAUCCUGCUUCCAGCG